rnacentral:rRNA from 1 species
UACGUAGGGAGCAAGCGUUGUCCGGAUUUACUGGGUGUAAAGGGUGCGUAGGCGGCAAUGCAAGUCAGGCGUGAAAUAUAUGGGCUUAACCCAUAGACUGCGUUUGAAACUGUGUUGCUUGAGUGAAGUAGAGGUAGGCGGAAUUCCCGGUGUAGCGGUGAAAUGCGUAGAGAUCGGGAGGAACACCAGUGGCGAAGGCGGCCUACUGGGCUUUAACUGACGCUGAAGCACGAAAGCAUGGGUAGCAAACAGGAUUAGAUACCCUGGUAGUCCAUGCCGUAAACGAUGAUUACUAGGUGUGGGGGGUCUGACCCCUUCCGUGCCGCAGUUAACACAAUAAGUAAUCCACCUGGGAAGUACGACCGCAAGGUUGAAACUCAAAGGAAUUGACGGGGGCCCGCACAAGCAGUGGAGUAUGUGGUUUAAUUCGAAGCAACGCGAAGAACCUUACCAGGUCUUGACAUCCAACUAACGAAGCAGAGAUGCAUUAGGUGCCCUUCGGGGAAAGUUGAGACAGGUGGUGCAUGGUU